UACGUAGGGGGCAAGCGUUGUCCGGAAUUAUUGGGCGUAAAGAGCGUGUAGGCGGCCAGAUAAGUCCGCUGUGAAAUCUCGAGGCUCAACCUCGGGUCUGCAGUCGAUACGAGCAAACUAGAGUGUUGCAGGGGAGACUGGAAUUCCUGGUGUAGCGGUGAAAUGCGUAGAUAUCUGGAGGAAUACCGGUGGCGAAGGCGGCAUCCUAGACCGACAUUGACGCUGAUGAGCGAAAGCUAGGGGAGCAAACGGG
rnacentral:rRNA from 1 species